rnacentral:rRNA from 1 species
AACGAACGCUGGCGGCAGGCUUAACACAUGCAAGUCGAGCGCCCCGCAAGGGGAGCGGCCGACGGGUGAGUAACGCGUGGGAACGUACCUUUUGGUUCGGAACAACUCCGGGAAACUGGAGCUAAUACCGGAUAAGCCCUAACGGGGAAAGAUUUAUCGCCGAAAGAUCGGCCCGCGUCUGAUUAGCUAGUUGGUGAGGUAACGGCUCACCAAGGCGACGAUCAGUAGCUGGUCUGAGAGGAUGAUCAGCCACACUGGGACUGAGACACGGCCCAGACUCCUACGGGAGGCAGCAGUGGGGAAUAUUGGACAAGGGGCGCAAGUCUGAUCCAGCCAUGCCGCGUGAGUGAUGAAGGCCUUAGGGUUGUAAAGCUCUUUUGUCCGGGAAGAUAAUGACUGUACCGGAAGAAUAAGCCCCGGCUAACUUCGUG